AAGAAAUGGUAAGUUAAGGAAAUUUUAGUUUUGUUAUGACAAUUCCAUAGUAUUCUCUUACAAGCUUUUUUCUGUUACAUGAUGCAUCUUCUUUCUCCAUGUGUUUAAAUUGCAUUCCAACAUUUUCAUCAGGCAAGAGUAUCUUGUGAGGUGUAUGUAAAUACGAACAACCAGACAAUUGUCCACCAAGAUUGCUACCCUGAGGGGUUGCUGAUAUUUUCUAGAGGUAUGAAAGGCUUGGUUUAGAAUAGACAAAAAGUAGAUAACUCCAUUCAAUUAUAAUCCUGCUUUCAUGGAGGAAAUGAGGACAAGAAGACACACAUCUCAUGUUUGGUUGGUCACCAUCUUUGCACUGUACCAUUGGGACCCAAAUAUUGGAAAGAUGCUUCUUAUGGAGUCUAUCUUUUAAUGCCUCAAUCCAGCCUUAACAAUUGCUGGUUUUCUUGCACAUAGUGACCCAUUUGUGCUUCCAAUAAUUGGAAAGAGGAAGCUGAUGAAGAAGAUCCUUUACUGGUGAUUCCUGCAGGUUGAUUAUUAAGCUAAUCCAUACUGAUCCUUUUUAUGGAAUUUGUAGUUUUUUUUUUUUUAAUGAUUAAUGUUAAUUCUAUUACUGAUUUUAAACUUGUGCACACAUUCUUUAUGCAGUGACCACAAAGCACUUCUUAAACUUUAUUAGGAUGAAAAUAUGCAAAGUAAAAUGGAAA